UUACCCAACACUAGAAGUUUC
rnacentral:piRNA from 1 species